rnacentral:ncRNA from 1 species
GAGCGCCGUAUGACGGGAAACUGUCACGUACGGUGUGGGACAGGGGAAAACUUGGAGAUAACAUCAAAGGGUUACCUAUUGUCAU